AAGCGGGCCCUGUGCGACAGGGCUCCGUGAACCAUGUCAGGCGGGGAACCGAGCAGCAUUAAGCGGAUGAUUCUGUGCGCCGCAGCAAGCCUGUUUGCC
rnacentral:SRP_RNA from 1 species